CGGGGCAUGGCUCAGCCUGGUAGAGCGCUCGGUUCGGGACCGAGAGGUCGGAGGUUCGAAUCCUCUUGCCCCGACCA
rnacentral:tRNA from 1 species